UAAGGACUACGGGGGGCAGCAGUCGAGAAUCAUUCACAAUGGGGGAAACCCUGAUGGUGCGACGCCGCGUGGGGGAAUGAAGGUCUUCGGAUUGUAAACCCCUGUCAUGUGGGAGCAAAUUAAAAAGAUAGUACCACAAGAGGAAGAGACGGCUAACUCUGUGCCAGCAGCCGCGGUAAUACAGAGGUCUCAAGCGUUGUUCGGAGUCACUGGGCGUAAAGCGUGCGUAGGCUGUUUCGGAAGUCGUGUGUGAAAGGCGCGGGCUCAACCCGCGGACGGCACAUGAAAAUGCGAGACUAGAGUAA
rnacentral:rRNA from 1 species